UGCUGCAUGGCUGUCGUCAGUCUCGUGUCGUGAGAUGUUGGGUUAAGUCCCGCAACGAGCGCAACCCUAUUGUUAGUUGCCAUCAUUCAGUUGGGCACUCUAGCGAGACUGCCGGUAAUAACCGGAGGAGGUGGGAUGACGUCAAUCAUCAUGCCCUUAUGACCUGGGCUACACACGUGCUACAAUGGUUGGUACAACGAGUUGCGAGUCGGUGACGGCGAGCUAAUCUCUUAAAGCCAAUCUCAGUUCGGAUUGUAGGCUGCAACUCGCCUACAUGAAGUCGGAAUCGCUAGUAAUCGCGGAUCAGCACGCCGCGGUGAAUACGUUCCCGGGCCUU
rnacentral:rRNA from 1 species